rnacentral:Y_RNA from 1 species
GGCUGGUCCCAGUGCAGUGGUGUUUACAACUAAUUGAUCACAGUCAGUUACAGAUUCCUUUGUUCCUUCUCCACUCCCACUGCUUCACUUAACUAGCCUUUA